rnacentral:lncRNA from 1 species
CUGACAUGUCUAUAACAAAGUGAUCUUCGUAACAUUCACAUUGUAUAACAAUAUUGUGGGGAGGUCCAACAAUAUUGUGGGGAGGUCCAUAAGCUGAAGAAGCACCAACUUUCAAGGCUCCAGAUAGCACAUAACUUGUACAACUUUAGAUUUUCAUAUAAAAAAUGAAGAGGAUAUAAGACGAUGUGAUUUACAGAUGUAAAACUAACUUGGAUUGUCUUCUACCUGGUUGAAAAAUUAUUUCAAAAUGAGACCCAUACUGAUAUGAUUUUAUAACCACAAGAGUAGUCACAAAAGCUCAAAUUUAUAUGAUCACUUGUUCAUGCAAUUAUCUACCAAAC